rnacentral:rRNA from 1 species
CCCUACGGGGCGCAGCAGUGGGGAAUAUUGCACAAUGGGGGAAACCCUGAUGCAGCAACGCCGCGUGAGUGAAGAAGUAUUUCGGUAUGUAAAGCUCUAUCCGCAGGGAAGAAAAUGACGGUACCUGAGUAAGAAGCCCCGGCUAACUACGUGACAGCAGCCGCGGUAAUACGUAGGGGGCAAGCGUUAUCCGGAUUUACUGGGUGUAAAGGGAGCGUAGACGGCGAUGAAAGUCUGAAGUGAAAGCCCGGGGCUCAACCCC